rnacentral:lncRNA from 1 species
GUCCAAAAAGGGGUUAGGAAACAAAGAAACAGUUCUCAAACACAAAAAUUGUUAUUUAAAAGAGAGGGACAGUCUUUUACUGUAUGCAGUGGGUAGGACAGGGCUUAAACUGAAGCCACAGAGAUUGAAGUGAAUUGGGAGCCUGUUGGAGAAAAUGCCUCGUAGGAGUGAUACAGGAUCAGCUCUUGCCUUGAAUUUUCCAACCCUGUUUUUCUGUGAUCCUGAUUAUCAAAAAAAGGGAAUGUAUAACAUGAAAUCUGCUUAACUGGUCACUUUACAAGUAUUUACACAUGUGUGAGUAUGUGCUUAGUUGUAGAAUCAUAGAAUCAUAGAAUGGUUUGGCUUGGAAAGGAUGUUAAAGCUCACCCAGUUCCACGGGCAGGGACACCUUCCACUAGAGCAGGUUGCUCCAAGCCCCUGUGUCCAACCUGGCCUUGAACACUGCCAGGGAUGGGGCAGCCACAGCUUCUCUGGGCACCCUGUGCCAGCGCCUCAGCACCCUCACAGGGAAGAGCUUCUGCCUCAGAGCUCAUCUCAGUCUCCCCUCUGGCAGGUUAAAGCCAUUCCCCUUGUCCUGUCCCUACAGGCCCUUGUAAAAAGCCUCUCUCCAGAUUCCUUGUAGCACGUAGGUAAAGCUACUCAGAGAGAUGAGAUACUACUGAGCUGCAUAAUCAAAACCCCCAAAAGUAUCUCCAGAAGGUGCCUGUUUCAGGUGCUGUUUGUAAAAGCAGUUUCCCUCGAGCUGUGGAUCUCGGCUGCUUUUCUCUCUCCGUUAUGUACUGUGUGAGCCUCUUGCGGUGAAAGAAAUUCCUUCCUCAAAACGACUUUCCUGUGAGUGGAAGUACCAGGAAUCUGAUUUAGGGUUUUGUCACAUGCUUCUUGGUAUAGAUAGAUAGAUAUAAACACGUGAGCAUGUAUAGUAAUGUAUGUGCUGGCAUGUAAGCCAACCGCUAACAGAUGAGGGUCAGGAAGAAACUUCUCUCCUGGGCAUGUUAAUUCAUAACAGGCUACUAUACAGUUUCUCCUACUUUUAUCUCCAGCAUCUGAUACCAGCCAGUGCUGGAGACAGGAUACUGGUUGAACCACUGGUCUCAACUAGUCUGGCUUUUUCUCUGUUUGAUAUUUUAAUUUCAUUUAUCACAGUCUGUAGAAUGAUGUAGAGUGAAGCACGCAUUGCAUUUCUAUGAAUAAAGACUCCGAAAUAAAUAACAUGCCUCUACCAC